rnacentral:rRNA from 1 species
GAUGAACGCUGGCGGCGUGCUUAACACAUGCAAGUCGAGCGAGAAGUCUUGAAUAGAUUCAUCGGAUGAACUUUAAAAUGGAAAGCGGCGGACGGGCGAGUAACGCGUAGGCAACCUGCCCCAUACAAAGGGAUAGCAUUCGGAAACGAAAAUUAAUACCUUAUGAAAGUUAACUAGUGCAUGCUAGGUAGGUCAAAGAUUUAUUGGUAUGGGAUGGGCCUGCGUCUGAUUAGCUAGCUGGGGAGGUAACGGGUCACCAAGGCGACGAUCAGUAGCCGACCUGGGGGAGUGCCCGGCCAGGUUGGAGCUGAGGCACAGUCCCAACCCCGACGCGAGAGAGCAGUGGAGUAUAUUGCGCGAUGGGGGUAGCCCUGACGCAGCAACGUCGCGUGAGCGAUGAUUGCCGUUGUAUCGUGAAGUUCUGUUCUAGGUGAUGUAUGCUGACGGUAACCUAGGAGAAAGCCCCGGCUAACUCCGUG